GCAGUGGGGAAUAUUGGACAAUGGGCGAAAGCCUGAUCCAGCAAUGCCGCGUGAGUGAUGAAGGCCUUAGGGUUGUAAAGCUCUUUUACCCGGGAUGAUAAUGACAGUACCGGGAGAAUAAGCUCCGGCUAACUCCGUGCCAGCAGCCGCGGUAAUACGGAGGGAGCUAGCGUUAUUCGGAAUUACUGGGCGUAAAGCGCACGUAGGCGGCUUUGUAAGUAAGAGGUGAAAGCCUGGAGCUCAACUCCAGAAUUGCCUUUUAGACUGCAUCGCUUGAAUCAUGGAGAGGUGAGUGGAAUUCCGAGUGUAGAGGUGAAAUUCGUAGAUAUUCGGAAGAACACCAGUGGCGAAGGCGGCUCACUGGACAUGUAUUGACGCUGAGGUGCGAAAGCGUGGGGAGCAAACAGGAUUAGA
rnacentral:rRNA from 1 species